UUGCCUUCUUACCAUUUGCUUCUCAUUCUGUGUCUUCUGUUAGCCUGGUAUGAUAAUUUGGAUACCUGCUCACCUAGAAAUAUGUUCACACAUUGCCACAGACACUUCUAUUGCUGUGCACUCAUAUGUAGACAUUUACACACACAUCUUUUUAUUUUAGGUUCAUUUAAUCUCUUCAGCUGGGGACUGUAACCUCCUGUCAUUGGAAUGAAUUAGCGUUUGUUGUUUUUUUUCCUAGAAGGUAGGAGGGCAAGUGGCUAGCUCUGAAAAAUAUUUUGGAACAACAGUGGGUUCAAAUUAUUAGUGAAGAAAAAAAAAAAAUCUUUAAAAAUAAUUCCCUGGGCUAUUUUGUUGUUUGUUAUAUUCUCUGAAUGCAUGUGAUUCGUGGGCCUAAAAAGGCCUUCGAUGACCUCAUCUUGGCAAUUUCAGGAUGUUCACAGCACGUCUGGAGCCCAGUAGAUGGCACUAUCUAGUGGUGCUGAGAACAGUUCAUGGAGAAACUACCACUCACAGCUACAAAUCUGGUAGAGAAGUAGCACCCUGACAGUUUACUGGACAAGUUAGAAGUUGAUAGUAACGCUGCGUCAUCCUCCCCCUUACUAGGGAAUGAGGGAAUGAGACCUUUCCUUACAUGUCUUGCCUAUUCAUGGUAUUUACUCUCAGUACACAAAACACUGUUGCCUCCUAUGGAUAGUCAGUGCCCCCUGGGGGGAAAUAGAAUAAAUUUGUGGCCAGUGGUCAGGCUUGAGACUUACCUCGUGUUUCAGAAGAGUGUUUUGCAGUGAGAGAUCUGGAGGAUUUCAGUGUUCGCACCCUGUAUGAUAAGCUGGAGGACCAGAAUUUGCACCUGGCAUCUCAGCUGGCAAAACACAGGAUGGAUGUGCUGGUGUUUUACAACGGAGUCAGGCAGCAGAUUCAAGGUCUCACGGACAUGGUGCAAGCACUGGACUCUGAAGGCCGGAAAAUCUUUGCCAGGCAAAGGAUUUGUGGGCAUAAACCUGCAGAAAGCAGCUGGGCAGCAGUGGGCGUUGAACCAUGUGAUGAGCACUGUAGCAGCAACUUCCGAGCAGUAGGGCACACAGGUGCACCGUGGCAAGAGGCAACAGAGUUAAUGAAAGCUCUGGAAAUCCUUCUUGGGAGAGCUCAGCACAAGAAUAUCUCCGUGAAACAAGAGAUGGAGCAGCAGGCCCAAGGACAGGAUGAGCUGGCAGUUGUACCCUCACUGGGCAGCCUGGCCAGUGAAAGUAAAGCAGAAGAAGGGGAAGGGCAGAAUCGUGAGCUGCUUCAGCAGUGCAAGCUUUUCUGUAGGAAAGGUGCUCUUUUCAGCUUCCCUGGACAUGACGAACACGAUCCCCAGCUGGCUUACCUGACUGAGCUGGAGGUGGAAGGCCUGAUAGCAGCUUCCCCCCUUGCCAAGACUCUGUGUGAGAUCAAGCAAGCUUUGGUGAAGCUGCAACAUCCUUUAGACCUUCAUAAUCCAGAGAAAUGUUUAAGUGACAGCUCCUCAGAAGAUACGAGGAGUGCCCUCAUCCCCACAGACCUGGCCAGUUUGUCACCUCACCAGUUCGUGGUGUACCGCUUUGGCUGUGCAGUGGUGCGCCUGUUAAUCGGGGCCUGCUCAUGCCCUGCUUUCGUACUUGCACUGGCUCACUCAGUUCCUGCCCAAAGUCCAGGCCAAGAGCUUCCAAGCCUUGGGGACUGCUACUAUGAUGCCACCACGAAGUACCUCUAUGUACGUGCAGCAAGGCUGGAAGAUGCAGGGGAAUUGACUGCUGUCCUGCUGAACGCUGUGGCAUGGAUCUCAGCAGGUUGUCCCUCAACCAGUAUUGGUCAUUCCUGCUUUCUGAUGGAGCUCAACAGAGCUAUCAUGGCUCUUGCCAAUGCUUUUUUCCAGCAUUCAUGGGGGAUAGCAGAGAAGCAUUCUUCAGGAGGUUGCUUAGCUGUUCAUUUUGACCCUCAGAAAGUGCUCAAAGAACUUGUCAGCAUCAGAGUAUCACCGCUCCCAUGUGUCAAGGAAAAAGCCCCAGAAGAGAGGGUGUCUAAUCUGGAAAAGUACCAGGCCCUUAAGUUGCAAGUGGAGACCCAGGACAGGAUGGAAAAUUCCCAGAAAAGUGACUAUAACUGGAUGUUAGAUUCCUCUCCUGUUAAGCUGAAGGUUGCGAAACUGGAAGAGAGGCUGGAUGAGCUAAAUGAGGAGUUUUUUGACCUGACAGUACGGGCCUUGAGCAUGCAGGAAGAUGGGGAGUCGUUGGAGAAGGAGCUGAGAAUACAGGAAGAGGCAUUUACGACUGCAAGCAACAAACGAGUGUGGGGAGCUCAGCAAUAUUCAGAGCUGUUGGAUUCCUGGGCCACAAAGAGGGAUGAAGCCCUGCUGCUGGAAAUAAGAAAGAACUGCAUUGCUCAGAGGAUUGAAGAGAUGGAAGCAGAACUAUUUUAUCUUCAGCAAAGUAAAAUAGGCACCAGCCCAUUUCCUUGA
rnacentral:lncRNA from 1 species